rnacentral:pre_miRNA from 1 species
CUUGCACCAGUGGGGUCCCUCAGCCUGGCCUGCACCCUCUUGCAAUCCAGGACUCCUCGGGGGAUGUCGGAGAGCCGGUUUCGACCUGAUCCCACAGGCCAGGCUGAGGGACCCCACUGGUGCAUG